rnacentral:rRNA from 1 species
CCUACGGGAUGCAGCAGUGAGGAAUCUUGGUCAAUGGGCGCGAGCCUGAACCAGCCAAGUCGCGUGAGGGAAGACGGUCCUAUGGAUUGUAAACCUCUUUUGGCGGGGAGCAAAAGACGCCACGCGUGGCGUUCCGAGCGUACCCGAAGAAAAAGCAUCGGCUAACGCCGUGCCAGCAGCCGAGGUAAUACGGAGGGGGCGAGCGUUUGUCGGAUGUAUUGGGUUAAAAGGGUGCGAAGGCGGAAGUUCAAGUCAGCGGUAAAAUUGAGGGGCUCAACCUCAUCGAGCCGUUGAAACUGGUGUUCUUGAGUGAGUGAGAGGUAUGCGGAAUGCGUGGUGUAGCGGUGAAAUGCAUAGAUAUCACGCAGAACUCCGAUUGCGAAGGCAGCAUACCGGCGCUCAACUGACGCUCAUGCACGAAAGUGUGGGUAUCGAACAGGAUUAGAUACCCGGGUAGUC